rnacentral:rRNA from 1 species
GACGAACGCUGGCGGCGUGCUUAACACAUGCAAGUCGAACGGAAAGGCCCUGGUUUUGUGGGGUGCUCGAGUGGCGAACGGGUGAGUAACACGUGAGUAACCUGCCCUGGACUUUGGGAUAACUUCAGGAAACUGGGGCUAAUACCGGAUAGGAGCUCCUGCUGCAUGGUGGGGGUUGGAAAGUUUGGGCGGUUGGGGAUGGACUCGCGGCUUAUCAGCUUGUUGGUGGGGUAGUGGCUUACCAAGGCUUUGACGGGUAGCCGGCCUGAGAGGGUGACCGGCCACAUUGGGACUGAGAUACGGCCCAGACUCCUACGGGAGGCAGCAGUGGGGAAUAUUGCACAAUGGGCGGAAGCCUGAUGCAGCAACGCCGCGUGCGGGAUGACGGCCUUCGGGUUGUAAACCGCUUUCGCCUGUGACGAAGCGUGAGUGACGGUAAUGGGUAAAGAAGCACCGGCUAACUACGUG